UUGAACGCUGGCGGCAGGCCUAACACAUGCAAGUCGAACGGUAACAGGAAGCAGCUUGCUGCUUUGCUGACGAGUGGCGGACGGGUGAGUAAUGUCUGGGAAACUGCCUGAUGGAGGGGGAUAACUACUGGAAACGGUAGCUAAUACCGCAUAACGUCGCAAGACCAAAGAGGGGGACCUUCGGGCCUCUUGCCAUCGGAUGUGCCCAGAUGGGAUUAGCUAGUAGGUGGGGUAAAGGCUCACCUAGGCGACGAUCCCUAGCUGGUCUGAGAGGAUGACCAGCCACACUGGAACUGAGACACGGUCCAGACUCCUACGGGAGGCAGCAGUGGGGAAUAUUGCACAAUGGGCGCAAGCCUGAUGCAGCCAUGCCGCGUGUAUGAAGAAGGCCUUCGGGUUGUAAAGUACUUUCAGCGGGGAGGAAGGGAGUAAAGUUAAUACCUUUGCUCAUUGACGUUACCCGCAGAAGAAGCACCGGCUAACUCCGUGCCAGCAGCCGCGGUAAUACGGGGGGUGCAAGCGUUAAUCGGAAUUACUGGGCGUAAAGCGCACGCAGGCGGUUUGUUAAGUCAGAUGUGAAAUCCCCGGGCUCAACCUGGGAACUGCAUCUGAUACUGGCAAGCUUGAGUCUCGUAGAGGGGGGUAGAAUUCCAGGUGUAGCGGUGAAAUGCGUAGAGAUCUGGAGGAAUACCGGUGGCGAAGGCGGCCCCCUGGACGAAGACUGACGCUCAGGUGCGAAAGCGUGGGGAGCAAACAGGAUUAGAUACCCUGGUAGUCCACGCCGUAAACGAUGUCGACUUGGAGGUUGUGCCCUUGAGGCGUGGCUUCCGGAGCUAACGCGUUAAGUCGACCGCCUGGGGAGUACGGCCGCAAGGUUAAAACUCAAAUGAAUUGACGGGGGCCCGCACAAGCGGUGGAGCAUGUGGUUUAAUUCGAUGCAACGCGAAGAACCUUACCUGGUCUUGACAUCCACGGAAGUUUUCAGAGAUGAGAAUGUGCCUUCGGGAACCGUGAGACAGGUGCUGCAUGGCUGUCGUCAGCUCGUGUUGUGAAAUGUUGGGUUAAGUCCCGCAACGAGCGCAACCCUUAUCCUUUGUUGCCAGCGGUCCGGCCGGGAACUCAAAGGAGACUGCCAGUGAUAAACUGGAGGAAGGUGGGGAUGACGUCAAGUCAUCAUGGCCCUUACGACCAGGGCUACACACGUGCUACAAUGGCGCAUACAAAGAGAAGCGACCUCGCGAGAGCAAGCGGACCUCAUAAAGUGCGUCGUAGUCCGGAUUGGAGUCUGCAACUCGACUCCAUGAAGUCGGAAUCGCUAGUAAUCGUGGAUCAGAAUGCCACGGUGAAUACGUUCCCGGGCCUUGUACACACCGCCCGUCACACCAUGGGAGUGGGUUGCAAAAGAAGUAGGUAGCUUAACCUUCGGGAGGGCGCUUACCACUUUGUGAUUCAUGACUGGGGUG
rnacentral:rRNA from 1 species